AAAAAAAAAAAAAAAGAAAAAAAGCGCCAUUAGCUCUACGCCUCUCAUCAUCUCCAUCCAUCCUUCAUUCUGCUACCGGGAAACGCACUGUGCAGAGAGCUGUAAUCGACUGCUCUCUCUCUCUUCUCUCUCGCUCGAGCUGAUGUUGACGAGCCCUCGACCUCCCGCUUUCUUUCUCCACUCGCAGCGCUCCGCCACCUUCUCUUCCCCCAAGUCGUCCCCUUUGCUGGCUUCGAGUGAACCGUCGGGAAUCGGAUUGAGGGCGCCAUCUCUUCACGUGCAAUGCCGCCGCGUCAUCUCGUCACCUAACGUCGAGUUCGAACCGGGUGAGUGGCUCUCAGAGACAAUUCAUCAAACGGUUGAUGUCCAUGAACGCAAUUUGAAAUAUUUGAUCGAACUCCUCGUUAAAAGUCUUGCCUUUUCAGGGGCGUUGGAUGUGUUGUUUCAAGAACUCGGGCUCAACGAGAGAGAGACCGAAUCUCUCUUGACCAGGGACCCGGAUUUGAGGCUGAAGUCUAUCGGUUCGUUGCGGGCUCGCGUCGCCUCUUUGAAAUCGGUCGGAAUCAGUGGCCUUGAGCUCUGCCAUUUGGUUGUGAAAUGCCCUUCUGUGUUGGCAGCAGGUGAAAUCGAUCCCUUUAUACUCUUCGUGCGCGACCAAUUAGAUGGAAAGGUUGACCCAAUGCAGCUUAAGCGUCUCUUUAUGUCAACUGAGCCGCGAUUCCUAGCUGGAUUUGAGGAAAAAGUUAAUUUGCUGACUGACAGUGGGAUUCCUAGAGAAAAGAUUGUUCAUGUUCUCAACAAUGUGAAUUUAACGAAGGCUUUGUCUCUUAAGCCGUUUGAAGAAAUUGAAAGGCUCCUUAAUUUCUUGAGCCGCUAUGGUGGGGUUGAUUUGAUCGUGAGGCAUCCCCCCAUUCUUAACUUCGAUAUGGAUACCCAUUUGAUUCCGAGAGUGGAGUUUCUCCUAGAACUUAGCGGAGGAGAUGAGGAUGCAACCGGGGCAGUGUUGCGCAAACUGCCUACCUUUUUGAAAUACCGUGUGGAACACUUGGAAAGCCAUGUAGAGUUCUUGAGGUCAUUUGCGGGAUUAGAUGAUCAAGAAAUAUUCAGGAUCAUUCUUGUGUUUCCUAACAUUGUUAGUGCGAGCAGGGAGAGGAAAUUGCGUCCCAGAAUUAGCUUUCUCAAAGAAUGUGGACUCAACUCCAAUGAGAUUUUCAAGUUCUUGACAAAAGCUCCUUUGUUUUUGGGUCUAUCUUUUGAGGGCAACAUUGCUUAUAAGCUGGGUUUUUUGGUGAAGAUUGGUUACAAGUACAGAACAAAGGAAUUUGCAGUUGCAAUAGGCGCUGUGACUAGGGCAAGUUGUGAGAAUAUGCAGAAGGUGAUUGAGCUCUUCUUGAGUUAUGGGUUUUCUUGUGAAGAUGUGCUUCUCAUGAGUAGGAAGCAUCCUCAGAUACUUCAAUACAAUCCUGAUUCUCUGGAGGAGAAAGUGGAAUAUUUGGUGGGGGAGAUGGGACGUGACCUUGAAAAGCUAUUGGAUUUCCCUGCAUUUCUUGGUUACAAACUCGACAGUAGAAUCAAGCAUAGGUAUGAGGUGAAGAAGAAGAUUAUAGGUGAAGGGAUGUCGAUCAACAAGCUGCUUAAUGUUUCGUUUGAGAGAUUUGCAAAGAAGAAGGUAGAAAAGUUGGUGCACAAACCUAAAAAUUAGGGGUUGCUCAAUUUCAUCAGCAGAAGUUCAUGGCAAAAUUGAUGGAAAUUGCAUAGUUACUGAGUAUUCUCAAAGCUUCAUUAGUCGAAGGCUUUUGGUUUUUUCAGGCGAAAUUCUGGCUUUGACUUCCUUAGGUGAAGAUAGAAAGUCAUAUUUUUCAUCCCUAAACCUGCAAAGCCAUUAUUAAGUUCGAAGAAAAUGGUCGAUACCCAGUUGAAUGAAAUGACUGAGUAUGCUUUAUUUUAAGGUUAAAGCAACAAGAAAAGUGGCUGAUCUUUGUAUUUGUGUAACUGUCAUUUACAAAGGAAUCACCCUUUUGAUCGCAAUGUUUCUUUGGUUGCUCCCACAUUUUUCUGUUCUUAGUCCUGAAAUCUUUAAAAACGUGAUUUGACAUUGAAAAUAAUCUUGUCAAUGUGCAUGAGGCAUCAAGACAUGGUUGCCCUUGUUAUGCAAUAGAUUUCCUAAUCGGGAUUGUCAAAAUCAAUAAGUUAACUUGAUUGCAAGGCAUCUUUGAUGAGGACAGUCAUUUCACCUGUAGAAAUUGCAACAAAUAAUUGAGUGUUAAUUCUGUUGUCUCUGUUUGUGCUUUGAUUAAAUUACAUUCUGUAAAUUAUUACGACUGUUAGUUCAGGAUUAUCUCACAGGACUUUAUGAUCAUCAACAAAACCGAGGAUCUAUUAUCCUCAAGAGAUCUGCAAAGUUGUGGCAUUUAUGCAUAAUAGGUGCCAUUGGCAACUUCAUUCUUUCUCCCAUGCAACAUGAGGUUACACUUUGGAAUGGUGAAUUCCAAGACACCUUAAGAUGAAUAGCCAUACUGCUUCGAUGGUGGAAUAUAACCAUGGCAAGAUGGGGUGUGAAUCCUUUUAUGCUCAUGGCACUGUGACUAGGACAAGUUGUGAGAAUAUGCAGAAGGUGAUUGAGCUCUUCUAGAGUUAUGAGUUUUCCUAUGAAGACGUGCUUCUCAUGAGUAAGAAGCAUCCUCAGAUACUUCAAUACAAUCCUGAUUCUCUGGAGGAGUAAGUGCAGUACUUGGUAGGGUGGAUUGGACACGGCCUUGACGAGCAAUUAGAUUUCCCUGCAUUCCUUGAUCACAAACUCGACAGUGGAAUUAAGCACAGGUACCAGGGGAAGAAGAAGAUUAUAGGUAAGGUGAAGGAAUGUCACUCAACAAGCUGCUUUGUGUUUCAUCUGAGAGAUUUGCAGAGAAACUUGAAGAGCUGGCGCACAAAGCCUAAAAAGUAAAAGGUUGCUAAGUUUCAUCCGCAGAAGUUCAUGGCCAAAGUGAUGGAAAUUGUACUGAAUUUUCUCAAAGCUUUACAAUUUCAAGGUUUUGCUGUUUUAUUUUUCCCAGGGUAAAAUUCUGGCUGGGACUUCCUUAGGUGAAGAUAGAAAGUCAUUAUUUCAUCCCUAAACUUGCAAAGCCAUCAUGGUUGAUACCCAGUUGUUAGAAAUGACUGAGUAUUCUCAAUUUGAAUGUUAAGCAACAAGAAAAGUGGCUCAUCUUUGUAUUUGUGUAAUUGUCGAUUCUAAUGGAAUCCACCUUUUAAUUGAUGGCAAUAUUUCUUUGGUUGUUCUCACAUUUUUCUGUUCUUAGUCCUGAAAUCUUGAAAAAUGUGACUCGAAAUGGAAGAGAAUCUUGUCAAUGUGCAUGAGGCGUCAAGACAUGGUUGCCUUUGUUAUGCAAUUCAGGAUAGACUUCCUACUUAUUGAACAGGGAUGGCCAGAAUCAGUGAGUUAACUUGAUUGAAAGAAAUCUAUGAUCAAGAGAGUCAUUUUACCAAUAGAAAUUACAAUAUGUAAGUGUUAAUACAGUUCUCUCUGAUCUGUUAUUUGAUUAAAUUACAUUAUUUCCAUAAACGUUACAACUGUGAUUUCAGGAUUACCUCUGGACAUAUCAUCAUCAACAACACUGAGAAUCAAUUAUCCUCAAGAUAUCUUCAAAGGCGUGGCAUUUAUACAUAAUAGAUACCAUUGGCAAGUCCAUUCUUUCUCCUAUGUGACUUCAACACAGGUUAGUCUUUGGAUUAACGAAUUGAAAGACGCCUUAAGUUGAAGUAGCCAUAGUGCUUGGUGGUGGAAUAUAACCAUGCAAGGUAAGAAAUCCGGUAUCAGUGAGAUUGCAACGAUAACUGAGUUAUGCAAACUCAUCAUAUGCAGUUUUGCACAUUGAUAUUCUUAGUGCGUGACCUCAGUCCACUGCAUUUGUUAAGAAUGAUCCUAUGUUUGGUAAUCCUGAAUUGCAUGUCCUGGGAGAAGAAAUAAGAAAAAAAAUAUAUUCUGAUACAUGCUGACAUAGUCUCGUGGUGUUGCGUCAAGACUGAUAUACUAUGUAUUGACAUGAAGAAAAAUUAAUUUAGAAAAGUUUGAAUGUUCUGCCAGAGUGAAUUGGAGGAAAAAGGAAAAAAAUUUCUUCACCCACCUCCUUUUUCCUCUUUCCUGCCUCUCCCAAAUGAAGCAUUAAAAUAGUAUCAAAAGAUCAUGCCCCGCUAAAGUGUAGAAGUGCCAAAUUAACCAGAUAACUUUCUUGAAAUUUCCAGAUAACAUAUAGGGUGUGAAUUCUUUUAUGCCCAUUCAGUGAGUCCUUAUGCUAACCUAUUUUAUACUUUUAACUGUCUACAAAUUCUCAUUUUAUUUUACUCUGUCCUAGUUAUAUUUUUGCAGAUGAUUGUAUUGCAAGUGUUGAAAAAACAUAAGAAAUCACUGCAGACAAGAACAGAUCAUUGAACUUAUAUAACAAGCAAUGGAGUUAUUGUUGCACUCGAAAGAACACACGAGUGGACCUAUGUAACACGGUUUCGUGGUAUUGUAUCAAAAUUGAUGUGCUAUGUCAUGACAUGGAGAAGAAGUUGUUUUGAGGUAGGCUAGUUUUUGUUUUUGAUCUUGUUCCUCGAAACUAUAUGUCAAUUUUCUUAUGAUUGUGACUCGAGCGGUGAAGGAGGGAGUCGGAGAAGAAGGGAGAAGGAAACAAAUGAAGAAGAAGAUAAGAAAAAAGAUG